ACUCAAAGGAAUUGACGGGGGCCCGCACAAGCAGCGGAGCGUGUGGAUUAAUUCGAUGCAACGCGCAGAACCUUACCCAGGCUUGACAUGUGAGUGGUACUGACCCGAAAGGGGAGGGACCCGCAAGGGAGCUCGCACAGGUGCUGCAUGGCUGUCGUCAGCUCGUGCCGUGAGGUGUUGGGUUAAGUCCCGCAACGAGCGCAACCCCCGUCCCCAGUUGCCGUUUCUGGGGAGACUGCCGGGCGAACCCCGGAGGAAGGUGGGGAUGACGUCAAGUCCGCAUGGCCCUUACGUCUGGGGCUUCACACACGCUACAAUGGCCGGUACAGCGGGAAGCCACUCUGCGAAGAGGAGCCAAUCCCCCAAAGCCGGCCCCAGUACGGAUUGGAGGCUGCAACUCGCCUCCAUGAAGUCGGAGUUGCUAGUAACCGCGCGUCAGCACAGUGCGGUGAAUGCGUUCCCGGGCCUUGUACACACCGCCCGU
rnacentral:rRNA from 1 species